GGAAGAUAGGCUUCCAAGGAGGCCCCUCUUUCUCCUUGCACCUCCUACCAGGAAGACUUGAAUGGACUCUCUGCCUGAGAAUGGAGGGCCUCAAGGUGGGCACUAAGCAAUGGGCUGGCAGCUGUCUGGACACAGAGAAAAGAAAUCAAGGUUUGGAGGGGCAAGGUGACCUGCCUGAAGCUUCAUAGUUGUCUCCACCAGGAGCAGAAAUGGGGAAGCGAGUGGUGACACCAAAAGAUCUGGGAGCUGCUUUCCUGCAGAUCACCUGCCCGAGGCUCUGAAAAGAACCCAGGCUGUGGAAAUGUCCAGGCGCAGGGGAUCCGAUGUGGACACCACACCCAGUUUACCACACAAGGAAACUAAGAGAAGACCAGAGGAGUGAAGACCCCGCCCAAGUCAGUGUCACACUGAUUUGCAUACUACUUUCCA